rnacentral:lncRNA from 1 species
AAAAUGUUGGAUUGAAAUCAAAUUUUAUCUAUUUAUUAGAAAAAACAAAUGAAAGAAUGAUUAUUUGACCUUGUAUAAGGAGUUAAAAUGCAAACAAAAAAACACAAAUCAAUCUAAUUGAAUUUGUUAUUCAAAUCGAACUAAUCCAUAAAUCAAUCAGUUGUGUGAAUUUGACUUUUAACUGGACGAAGUCAGAUUAAUUUUAUGAUUGGGUUAUAGAGACAUCGAGAGAGAAACACAGAGCUUUCGCCGGAGGUAACCGAAGGGAUGUGAGAACGCGGAAGGAGACUGGUGAGAGACUCCUCAACAACAGGCAGCACCAAUUGCAAACAAGAGCUUCACCUUCAAGCAGAGACACCUUUUGCAGGGUCGUCCGCAAAACCCUAAUUAUCAGCAUCAACAAACGAGAAGAGGAAGCACAAGAGCUCACAGAAGGACGGCAUGGCAGUUGACUCUCGAACUAAAAAACAGAGGUCCUCGAUGGCGAGCCUACACACCACCUUUCACUCAGAAACUGAGAGGAGAAGCUCUACACAUACCUUGAGCCAGCGGUGGAAUGGAUUGACUGGAACGAGACCUUGAGCCAGGAGCAGCGACGGCAGCGCGUCACACGAGACUGGUGGUUCUCAGCCUCAGAUAUGACCCAAAUCUGAGCACAAUCAACACAUCCCAGGUUGAUUCAAAGCCCCUGAGGUAUCCUCGAUCUACCUCGCCUCGCCGGAACUCCGGAGAAACCAUGGACGCCCAUGGUUCCCGAUAGAUCUAAAAAGAAAUCCAGAGCCACCAAGCAAGGAGGAGAGACAUGAUGAGGAGAGCAACAAGGAGAAGGCUUGGGCAUCAGAACACGGACAGGGGUGGCGACCGGAGCAGAAGCGUCCGGCCACCGAGGUGAUUGAACAGAAAACGCGGCGGCUAGGUUGAAGAUUUUGUGGAGAGACCCUAGAGAGAAACUUUAUCUCUCUCUCUUGUUUUUUUUUUCAGUCCGAAGCUACAAAGUUCUCUGUUGGCUCCACGAAAACGCAAACACCAAGAAUCUAUGAGUUGCGGUAGGCUGUAGAUGUCACUGAAGAGAACAUGAUACAUCGGCUAGUUAUCUAGGGAGCGUAGAGCGUUUCGGAUCUCUAGAGAGGAGAAUUAUAUGAUUUUCAUAAUUUUGAUGGCCC